rfam:Ruminococcus sp. 37_24 Ley3_66761_scaffold_520, whole genome shotgun sequence.
CACAUACAAAACGGGAGCUGUUACCGGCUGAGAGGAAAUUCGAUUUCGACCGUAAACCUGAUUUGGAUAAUGCCAACGAAGGGACAUAUCAAGCUUGAAGU